AUCGCUUCUCGGCUCUCCGUACCUGAGAUCAAAGUGUAGUAUCUGUUCUUAUCAGCUUGAUAUCUGGUACGGUCCCCAUUGGGGACCCAGAAUAAUUAAACUGUUUUUGGAAUAUGGCGAGAGUGACUUGGGGCUCGCUCCGACUCUGCCGCGGAUUGUCUUGUGUGUUUACACUAAUACCAGGUAUGGCGCAAGCUAU